rnacentral:tRNA from 1 species
AUUUUCUUAGCUGAUAUUAAAGCACUUUACUGAAGAUAAAGAAGACUAAUACAUC